GACAGAGGUCCCAAGCGUUAGGCGGAAUCACUGGGCUUAAAGCGUGUGUAGGCGGAUUUGUAAGUACCUUGUGAAAUCCCACGGCUCAACCGUGGAACUGCUUGGUAUACUGCUUAUCUUGGGUCGUCUAGGGGCGAGCGGAACAAACGGUGGAGCGGUGAAAUGCGUAGAUAUCGCUUGGAACGCCAAAGGUGAAGACAGGUUGCUGGGGGUGUGCCGACGCUGAGACGCGAAAGCCAGGGGAGCAAACGGG
rnacentral:rRNA from 1 species